rnacentral:rRNA from 1 species
AGGACGAACGCUGGCGGCGUGCUUAACACAUGCAAGUCGAGCGGAAAGGCCCUUUGGGGUACUCGAGCGGCGAACGGGUGAGUAACACGUGAGUAAUCUGCCCUUCACUCUGGGAUAGCCCUCCGAAAGGGGGAUUAAUACCGGAUACGACCACGUACUGCAUGGUGUGUGGUGGAAACUUUUUGGGUGGGGGAUGUGCUCGCGGCCUAUCAGCUUGUUGGUGGGGUAAUGGCCUACCAAGGCUUCGA